rnacentral:rRNA from 1 species
AGUGAACGCUGGCGGUAGGCCUAACACAUGCAAGUCGAACGGCAGCACAGUAAGAGCUUGCUCUUACGGGUGGCGAGUGGCGGACGGGUGAGGAAUACAUCGGAAUCUACUUUUUCGUGGGGGAUAACGUAGGGAAACUUACGCUAAUACCGCAUACGACCUACGGGUGAAAGCAGGGGAUCUUCGGACCUUGCGCGAUUGAAUGAGCCGAUGUCGGAUUAGCUAGUUGGCGGGGUAAAGGCCCACCAAGGCGACGAUCCGUAGCUGGUCUGAGAGGAUGAUAGGCCACACUGGAGCUGGGCCACGGUCCAGACUCCUGCGGGAGGCAGCAGUGGGGAAUAUUGGACAAUGGGCGCAAGCCUGAUCCAGCCAUACCGCGUGGGUGAAGAAGGCCUUCGGGUUGUAAAGCCCUUUUGUUGGGAAAGAAAAGCAGCAGGUUAAUACCCCGCUGCUCUGACGGUACCCAAAGAAUAAGCACCGGCUAACUUCGUG